rnacentral:rRNA from 1 species
UACGUAGGGUGCGAGCGUUGUCCGGAAUUACUGGGCGUAAAGAGCUCGUAGGUGGUUUGUCGCGUUGUUCGUGAAAACCUGAGGCUUAACCUUGGGCGUGCGGGCGAUACGGGCAGACUGGAGUACUGCAGGGGAGACUGGAAUUCCUGGUGUAGCGGUGGAAUGCGCAGAUAUCAGGAGGAACACCGGUGGCGAAGGCGGGUCUCUGGGCAGUAACUGACGCUGAGGAGCGAAAGCGUGGUGAGCUAACAGG